rnacentral:ncRNA from 1 species
UUUUCCCGGGGUGUCGCAUGGCGGCUGAGACGGCUUUUUAAGCCGGACCCGUUAACCUGAUCCGGUUCAUACCGGCGUAGGGAGUGAAA